AGGACGAACGCUGGCGGCGUGGAUAAGACAUGCAAGUCGAACGGGAUUACUUUUGUAGCAAUACAGAAGUAAUUCAGUGGCGAACGGGUGCGUAACACGUGGGCAAUCUGCCGAAAAGUGGGGGAUAGCUCGCCGAAAGGCGAAUUAAUACCGCAUGUGGUGAGGGACGACAUCUUCCUGAAUCCAAAGCCGGGGCAACCUGGCGCUUUUUGAGGAGCCCGCGGCCUAUCAGCUUGUUGGUGAGGUAACGGCUCACCAAGGCUUUGGA
rnacentral:rRNA from 1 species